AUUGAACGCUGGCGGCAGGCCUAACACAUGCAAGUCGAACGGAGUGGCGGACGGGUGAGUAAUGUCUGGGAAACUUCCUGCUGGAGGGGGAUAACGUCCGGACACGGGCGCUAAUACCGCAUACUAUCAGAUGAGCCUAGGUCGGAUUAGCUAGUUGGUGGGGUAAAGGCCUACCAAGGCGACGAUCCGUAACUGGUCUGUGAGGAUGAUCAGGCACACUGGAACUGAGACACGGGCCAGACGCCUACGGGAGGCAGCAGUGGGGAAUAUUGGACAAGGGGCGAAAGCCUGAUCCAGCAAUGCCGCGUGUGUGAAGAAGGUCUUCGGAUUGUAAAGCACUUUAAGUUGGGAGGCGUUACCAACAGAAUAAGCACCGGCUAACUUCGUGCCAGCAGCCGCGGUAAUAC
rnacentral:rRNA from 1 species